rnacentral:lncRNA from 1 species
CGAUGUCUCGCUCGAGAUUGAUAAAACCAACAUCUUGCUCGAGACCGAUGAAGCCAACUCCUCGAUCUAGAGGACAAAACCGAUAUCUCUUUCAGGGAUGACAAAUUUUAGUCAACCGACUAGAAUAAAACGGUGGAUAUCUCACAGCACAUCAAGCCGAAACCUUCUAAAAUCAUAACUCACAUGCCCGCACCUCAAUCUGAAACGAUCCUCAACAGUCUGAGUUUCGACGGGCAAGAUGAGGUUCAAAUCAGACAGCAAGAAAGACCACAAGUUCGUGCUAGAAUUAGUUUAACCGAGCUUUCGAGCUCCUGACGACGGGAUUCCAAAGACUCAGAUCGUGUAUCUGCCCCAAACUGUAACUUCCCCCAAAAAAUGGAGCACAGGACGCAAUCUGGUUAACCCAAACCCAGAUGAUGUGGGUGAAAUGCAUGCAGUGGUCCGAUCUCAGGAACAAUGCAGCAACCACCAGAGUUGUGGUCCACCUCUUAAUCGGUAAGUAAUCUUUACUUUUUCAAACUUUUAUUAUGCUCUAAGUUGCGAAGCAUCUUGAUAACGUCUUAGACUGUGUUGUUUAGGUUUGCUUUCCCCUGUUAUAUGUGUCUACUGCUUGCUAGGUGCUUAGUUCAUUGUUGUGUUUUAUUUUUCUGAUGUUUAGAAUACUUUGCCUCUCUCUCUACAGUCACAGUUGGUUCUUCUCCCCUAGAC